rnacentral:rRNA from 1 species
AUUGAACGCUGGCGGCAUGCUUUACACAUGCAAGUCGAACGGUAACAGGGUGCUUGCACCGCUGACGAGUGGCGAACGGGUGAGUAAUACAUCGGAAUGUACCCAGUAAUGGGGGAUAACGCUUCGAAAGGAGUGCUAAUACCGCAUACGCCCUGAGGGGGAAAGUGGGGGACCGCCAGGCCGCCCGUUAUUGGAGCAGCCGAUGGCUGAUUAGCUAGUUGGUGUAGGUAAAGGCUCACCAAGGCGACGAUCAGUAGCGGGUCUUAGAGGACGAUCCGCCACACUGGAACUGAGACACGGUCCAGACUCCUACGGGAGGCAGCAGUGGGGAAUCUUGGACAAUGGGCGAAAGCCUGAUCCAGCAAUGCCGCGUGCGUGAAGAAGGCCUUCGGGUUGUAAGGCGCUUUUGUCUGGGAGCAAAUCCUGGCCUCUAAUACAGGUCGGGGAUGAGAGUACCAGAAGAAUAAGGACCGGCUAACUACGUGCCAGCCGCCGCCGUAAAAC